rnacentral:rRNA from 1 species
UGUUUCGGCAAGGGGGUCAUCCCGACUUACCAACCCGAUGCAAACUGCGAAUACCGGAGAAUGUUAUCACGGGAGACACACGGCGGGUGCUAACGUCCGUCGUGAAGAGGGAAACAACCCAGACCGCCAGCUAAGGUCCCAAAGUCAUGGUUAAGUGGGAAACGAUGUGGGAAGGCCCAGACAGCCAGGAUGUUGGCUUAGAAGCAGCCAUCAUUUAAAGAAAGCGUAAUAGCUCACUGGUCGAGUCGGCCUGCGCGGAAGAUGUAACGGGGCUAAACCAUGCACCGAAGCUGCGGCAGCGACGCUUAUGCGUUGUUGGGUAGGGGAGCGUUCUGUAAGCCUGUGAAGGUGUGCUGUGAGGCAUGCUGGAGGUAUCAGAAGUGCGAAUGCUGACAUAAGUAACGAUAAAGCGGGUGAAAAGCCCGCUCGCCGGAAGACCAAGGGUUCCUGUCCAACGUUAAUCGGGGCAGGGUGAGUCGACCCCUAAGGCGAGGCCGAAAGGCGUAGUCGAUGGGAAACAGGUUAAUAUUCCUGUACUUGGUGUUACUGCGAAGGGGGGACGGAGAAGGCUAUGUUGGCCGGGCGACGGUUGUCCCGGUUUAAGCGUGUAGGCUGGUUUUCCAGGCAAAUCCGGAAAAUCAAGGCUGAGGCGUGAUGACGAGGCACUACGGUGCUGAAGCAACAAAUGCCCUGCUUCCAGGAAAAGCCUCUAAGCAUCAGGUAACAUCAAAUCGUACCCCAAACCGACACAGGUGGUCAGGUAGAGAAUACCAAGGCGCUUGAGAGAACUCGGGUGAAGGAACUAGGCAAAAUGGUGCCGUAACUUCGGGAGAAGGCACGCUGAUAUGUAGGUGAAGCGACUUGCUCGUGGAGCUGAAAUCAGUCGAAGAUACCAGCUGGCUGCAACUGUUUAUUAAAAACACAGCACUGUGCAAAC